rnacentral:rRNA from 1 species
UGGUGGAGUGAUUUGUCUGGUUAAUUCCGUUAACGAACGAGACCUCAUCCUGCUAAUUAGUCUGGCGAAAUUUCGGUUUCGUUCAUGCUUCUUAGAGGGACUAUUGGUGUUGCAAGCCAAUGGAAGUUUGAGGCAAUAACA